rnacentral:rRNA from 1 species
GACGAAGGGGGCUAGCGUUGUUCGGAAUUACUGGGCGUAAAGCGCACGUAGGCGGUUCGUUAUGUCGGAUGUGAAAGCCCUUGGCUUAACCGAGGAAGUGCAUCCGAAACUGGCGAGCUAGAGUACGAAAGAGGAUCGCGGAAUUCCCGGUGUAGAGGUGAAAUUCGUAGAUAUCGGGAGGAACACCGGUGGCGAAGGCGGCGAUCUGGGUCGAUACUGACGCUGAGGUGCGAAAGCGUGGGGGAGCAAACAGG